UACGUAGGUGGCGAGCGUUGUCCGGAUUUACUGGGCGUAAAGAGCGCGCAGGCGGUCGUGCAAGUCGCGUGUGAAAGCCCCCGGCUCAACUGGGGAGGGUCACGCGAUACUGAUCGACUCGAAGGCAGGAGAGGGAAGUGGAAUUCCCGGUGUAGUGGUGAAAUGCGUAGAUAUCGGGAGGAACACCAGUGGCGAAGGCGGCUUCCUGGCCUGUUCUUGACGCUGAGGCGCGAAAGCUAGGGGAGCAAACGGG
rnacentral:rRNA from 1 species